rnacentral:rRNA from 1 species
UACGGAGGGGGCUAGCGUUGUCCGAAGUUACUGGGCGUAAAGCGCGCGUAGGCGGGGUGGUAAGUCCGCUGUGAAAGCCCGGAGCUUAACUCCGGAGGGUCGGUGGAUACUGCCAGUCUUGAAGGUGCUAGGGGGAGAUGGAAUUACCGGUGUAGCGGUGAAAUGCGUAGAUAUCGGUAGGAACACCAGUGGCGAAGGCGGUCUCCUGGGGCAUUCUUGACGCUGAGGCGCGAAAGCUGGGGGAGCAAACGGG